rnacentral:misc_RNA from 1 species
UGUUUUGGAAAAGUGGAUUUAACUGUCAAAAGAGGGACUGAUACCAAAUAAAAUUAAAAUGGAGUGUCUUAUAAUUGUGAUCAGAGAUUUUUGAUUUGCUGUCAUGGCAUCUGAGGAUAGUGUAACGUUUAUUCAAAAUGAUCUAGCUACCUCUUCGUUCCCUAUUUUUGAAGAUAUAAAAUGCGCUGGAAAGCUUUGUGAUGUGAUUCUGAAGGUUGAAGAUCAGUGCUUUUAUGCCCAUAGGGUUAUUUUAGCUGGCACCAUACCAUACUUUCAUGCUAUGUUUACCCAUGAUAUGGUUGAAAGUACAAAGAAUGAAAUAACUAUCAAAGAAAUAGAUCCUGAUGCAUUGGAAUUACUGAUCAAUUUUGCAUAUAGUGGGAAAGUUCAAAUAACCACAUCAAAUGUCCAGUCUUUACUUGUUGGUUCUUCUUUUCUUCAGCUUAGUAAAGUUAGAGAUGCUUGUUGUGAAUUUUUAAAGAAAAGACUGCAUCCUAACAAUGCCUUGGGUAUUCGUUCCUUUGCUGAUGUACUUGAUUGUUCAACUCUUGUUGAAGCAACUAAUCGUUUCAUUCAAAAGCAUUUUAUUGAAGUUGCUCGCUCUGAAGAAUUUAUGAACUUGCCUUUCAUAGAUGUCAAAGAGAUAAUAAGUAGAGAUGAACUGCAUAUCACUAAUGAAGAGCAGGUUUUUGAAGCUGUCAUGGCAUGGGUGAAAUUUGAUCUUUCCAGGCAAAGUUAUUUACCUGAAUUAUUAACUCAAGUACGCAUGCCUUUGCUAACUCCACAGUAUUUGACUGAUCAUGUUGCAACUGAAGAACUGAUUCGAACAUCUCAUCAAUGUAGAGAUCUGUUAGAUGAGGCAAAAGAUUAUCAUCUGAUGCCUGAACGGAGACCUUUAUUGCAGAGUUUUCGAACAAGGCCUCGAUGCUGUCCAGAUAUUGUUGGAUGUAUCUAUGCUGUUGGAGGUCUCACAAAAUCAGGUGACUCAUUGAGUACUGUUGAAGUAUUUGAUCCUAAAGUGGGUAGGUGGCAGUUGUCUGAAGCUAUGACAAUGCUGAGAAGUAGAGUUGGAGUUGCUGUGAUGCAUAACAAAUUAUAUGCUAUCGGUGGUUACAAUGGAUCUGAGCGAUUGAGUACUGUAGAAGUCUUUGAUCCAGAAGCACGUACUUGGAGUACAGCUGCAUCUAUGAAUUGUAAACGAAGUGCUGUAGGAGCAGCUACUUUGUUUAAUAAACUGUAUGUGUGUGGUGGAUAUGAUGGUAUCUCUUCUUUAAACACAGUAGAAUGUUAUGAUCCAGAGAAAAAUGAGUGGAGUAUGGUCACAAGUAUGUCCAAACACAGAAGUGCUGCUGGGGUUGUUGCUUUUGAAGACCACAUCUAUGCUCUAGGUGGACAUGAUGGGCUUUCUAUCUUUGAUUCGGUGGAAAGAUACGACCCUCACUCCGGCCAAUGGAUAGCUAUGCCACCUAUGUUAAGCAAAAGAUGUAGACUUGGAGUUGCAACUCUUAAUGGGAAAAUAUAUGUUUGUGGAGGUUAUGAUGGCUCUACUUUCCUACUCACUGCUGAGGUUUAUAAUCCUGCAACUAAACAGUGGACAUAUAUUGCCCCAAUGAAUGUUAUGCGGAGUAGAGUUGCUUUGGUUGCAAACUGUGGUAAAUUGUAUGCAAUUGGUGGCUAUGAUGGUGUCACAAACCUCAGUACAGUUGAAAUCUAUAAUCCAGAAAGUAACCGGUGGGAUUUUGUUCCAUCCAUGUGUGCGCAUGAGGGUGGUGUGGGUGUUGGAGUGAUUCCAUCCUUAUAGAAAAUUCCUUAGUUUAAUAUUGUUUAAAAUUUGACAUUUUGCCUUUUAAUGAUAGUUUUUCAAAAGGGAGCAAAUUAUUAAAUUUUAUUUAUUAUUAUUAGAAAUUUGUAUGUAUUAUUUUAUGCAUAACUUUUGCCAUAGUAAACUUGAUUAUGAAGCAGUUGUAGUAAUGGAUGUAUCUGUUCCAAGUGUACUGUGUUAAAAUGGGCUAAGUGCAAUGUUUCAUAUUCAUUGGAAAAUCAAUAUCAAUCUUUCAAGUAAUUAUCAUAUACUUUUUACAUGAAUUUCUUAAUUAUGUGUUAUUAGAUUUAUUUGUUAUUUAUUUUAUUUCAUUUCACCAAAAUUAAAACAUUUUGAAUAAUUUUUAAUUGCAUUUCACAAAGAUUAAGAUGCAUUUGAAUUGGCUUAAAUUAGUUCUUGAAUUGUACUUAUAAUUAGAACAUUUUAAAUAAAAAAAUAAUAAAUGAAAUAGGAGAAAGUUAGGAAAAUGAGACUUCUUCAAAUUAAAUUAAAAUCUUAUAAGAUUAAAUAAUAUUGUUGCGUGCAUUCGGGUUCAUAAUAGAUUGAAUGCAUGCGGGUCCGAUUAUAGAUUAACAAAAUAUAUUUUUAUCAAAAGAAGUAUUUCAGAGUUCUGGAAUUUUCCACGGAAAUAUUUGUCAGGUAUUCACAGUAUAUCACACAGUGCAGUUAGUAGUUAAAUUCAAACUACUAAGAACAUUAAACACAAUGCAAUGCAAAGCGCAUGUAAAGAGAAAGCUAACGGAGAUAUCUCAGUUCACGCUGAACUAACAACUCACAACAACAAUAAUUAAACAACUAACUGAAUGUAGAUGCUCUCUUUCUAGCCUUAAAUAGUUUUAAACUAGCCAACGAGAUAGUUCCAGUACUUUUUGCUUCUUGAAAUUAUUGGAAAGCAAUAUGAGGGUCGAAUUACGGUUACAGCUAGCAUAGUGAUCAAUUACCUUUAUUCAAUUUCAGUACAUAUUACGGUGAUAUAGGGACCAGAAUUUGGCGAUUGUCGCCAAAACCAUCGUCAGCUUGGCGAUAUCUCACCAAUUACUAAGAAACACAUUUAUUUAAUGUUAAAUGGACUUGCCCCUGUAUUCUUACUUUUCUGGGUUAGCUUUUCCCUUCAGAUUUUUUGUGUUACAUUGCACAGCAAAAUACGACAAUUUCACAUAUAACUGCACUGAAAUCAUCUAUCUUUGUACAAUAUUUUUAACAAUAUUUAGUUUCACUUUAUUUUAAAUUUCAAUAAAUUAUUUUCAAUUAUCAAAAUGCUGUGAGAAUUUUCCUUUAGUUUGUCAUCUUAAUUUAUUUUUUUUUUUACAUGUUUAAUUUAUUUUUAGAAGUUGUCUAAAUCUCCCUUUAUUAUUAAACAUGUGAAUUAUUAAACAGUUAAUUAAAAAUAUUCUUAUAAGGAAGGUCUUUCAGUCUUGAACUCUCAGUAUUAAAAAUAUAUAUAUGCAGAUUUGCUUAUGAAAAAUAUGCAAUCCUAAAUACAAUGAUAAAAAGUAAUUGCUUCAAGGCUUUAAAUGAGUAGAUGACCCAAAAGUGGGUGAAGAAUAUUCGCAUGCUAUGGUAUAUUUAAUUUUCUGAAAUUUCAAAAUACGGUUUUCUGAACUCCCAGUGAGUGAUUUAGUUUCAAAAUCAAAACAUAAAACAAAUGGAUUCAUGUAGAAUCUUAAUUUGCAUCUAUCUAUUUAUUUAUUAUUUUUGUAUAUUCAUUUAUUAUUUUUUUAUUACAAAUUUCAUUUAAAAGUUUAUGCAUGUAUAAAAUUUAUUACUUAUGAUUAUGAACAUACUUGUUUCCCAUCAGUGUUUCAUCAUGCUUCUCAAAUAGUUUAAACAAAGAAUUUUACUUUUCCUUAUACAGAUUAAUCAAUCAAACUUAACAAAAAGGAAGAAAAAUUAAUGUUUGGAAAAUGACCAGAACUUAGGGAAUUCUGAAUACCAUAGUAUUAAAAGAAAAUGUGUAAUGCUGUUUUUGUUUUGCUCAAACAUGCAUAUUUCAUACAAUAAUCAUUUUGGUUAUUGCAGGUGUGCAUGAUGAUGUAUAACUGUGAAAAAAUAAUCAAAACUGUAGAAUAAAAAUAUCAAGUUGAAAAUGCAGUAUAGAAGAAUAAAUAUCUGAUGGCAGCGGUGGCAUAAAAGGUGAAACCAGUGUUUAUUUAAAAGAAAAGAAAAUACAGUACUUAGUUAAGAAUUAUAAUUGGGAGAAUUCACCCAUAGAAUUCAUAUAACACUUCAAGUU